UGGAUGAUGUGAUUAAUUCGAUGCAACGCGAAAACCUUACUACCCUUGACAUGUCCGGAAUCCCGAAGAGAUUUGGGAGUGCUCGCAAGAGAACCGGAACACAGGUGCUGCAUGGCUGUCGUCAGCUCGUGUCGUGAGAUGUUGGGUUAAGUCCCGCAACGAGCGCAACCCUUGUCAUUAGUUGCCAUCAUUUGGUUGGGCACUCUAAUGAGACUGCCGGUGACAAACCGGAGGAAGGUGGGGAUGACGUCAAGUCCUCAUGGCCCUUAUGGGUAGGGCUUCACACGUCAUACAAUGGUCGGUACAGAGGGUUGCCAACCCGCGAGGGGGAGCUAAUCCCACAAAGCCGAUCGUAGUCCGGAUCGCAGUCUGCAACUCGACUGCGUGAAGUCGGAAUCGCUAGUAAUCGUGGAUCAGCAUGUCACGGUGAAUACGUUCCCGGGUCUU
rnacentral:rRNA from 1 species